rnacentral:rRNA from 1 species
GACGAACGCUGGCGGCGUGCUUAACACAUGCAAGUCGAACGGUAAGGCCCUUCGGGGUACACGAGUGGCGAACGGGUGAGUAACACGCGGGUGAUCUGCCCUACACUUCGGGAUAAGCCUGGGAAACUGGGUCUAAUACCGGAUAGGACCCUGGGAUGCAUGUCCUGGGGUGGAAAGCUUUUGCGGUGUGGGAUGGGCCCGCGGCCUAUCAGCUUGUUGGUGGGGUGAUGGCCUACCAAGGCGACGACGGGUAGCCGGCCUGAGAGGGUGACCGGCCACACUGGGACUGAGAUACGGCCCAGACUCCUACGGGAGGCAGCAGUGGGGAAUAUUGCACAAUGGGCGCAAGCCUGAUGCAGCGACGCCGCGUGAGGGAUGACGGCCUUCGGGUUGUAAACCUCUUUCAGCACCGACAAAGCGCAAGUGACGGUAGGUGCAGAAGAAGGACCGGCCAACUACGUGCCAGCCGCCGCGGUAA